rnacentral:ncRNA from 1 species
UGCACCGAUCCUUUGCCAAAGGACUUUUCGCCCAGAACAACCGCUCUUUUAUGAUCUUGCAAAGCGCCGGCAAGAAUCUCCGAUGCCGAGGCCGAACCGUCGUUGAUCAGCACCACAAUCGGCAGGCCGGCGGCAAUAUCGCCUUUGGUGGCAUUGUAUUUGACGGUGUCUUCUUCGUUGCGCGAGCGGGUGGAAACGAUUUCCCCCUUGUCCAGAAACAGGUCGGAAACCGCUACUGCCUGAUCCAGCAGGCCGCCGGGAUUGUUGCG